rnacentral:rRNA from 1 species
GUGGGGAAUCUUGCGCAAUGGGCGAAAGCCUGACGCAGCCAUGCCGCGUGAAUGAUGAAGGUCUUAGGAUUGUAAAAUUCUUUCACCGGGGACGAUAAUGACGGUACCCGGAGAAGAAGCUCCGGCUAACUUCGUGCCAGCAGCCGCGGUAAUACGAAGGGGGCUAGCGUUGCUCGGAAUUACUGGGCGUAAAGGGCGCGUAGGCGGACAGCUUAGUCAGAGGUGAAAGCCCAGGGCUCAACCUUGGAAUUGCCUUUGAUACUGGCUGUCUUGAGUUUGGGAGAGGUGAGUGGAACUCCGAGUGUAGAGGUGAAAUUCGUAGAUAUUCGGAAGAACACCAGUGGCGGAGGCGACUCACUGGCCCAAUACUGACGCUGAGGCGCGAAAGCGUGGGGAGCAAACAGGAUUAGAAACCCCGGUAGUCC